UCGGCAGCCAGUAACAAGGCUGUUACAAGUGUCUACAAUGACGUGAAGGAAUACUAUGGAAAGACACUGAAGAAUACAUCUGACCUGAAAAGCAAUGCCUGUGUUCCGUCUGCCAAGCCUGUCCCUGCAUACGUGAGGAAAGUGAUAGCUGAGAUCCAUCCAGAUGUCGUUGCAAAGUGAGGUUUGCUUCGAUGAAUGUUGUGAUGAUUUAGUUAAAACAUACAUAUGCAAGAUGUCUUUGAGGUAAAACAAAG